rnacentral:rRNA from 1 species
AUGAACGCUGGCGGCGUGCCUAAUACAUGCCAGUCGAGCGAACGGACGAGAAGCUUGCUUCUCUGAUGUUAGCGGCGGACGGGUGAGUAACACGUGGAUAACCUACCUAUAAGACUGGGAUAACUUCGGGAAACCGGAGCUAAUACCGGAUGAUAUUUUGAACCGCAUGGUUCAAAAGUGAAAGACGGUCUUGCUGUCACUUAUAGAUGGAUCCGCGCUGCAUUAGCUAGUUGGUAAGGUAACGGCUUACCAAGGCAACGAUGCAUAGCCGACCUGAGAGGGUGAUCGGCCACACUGGAACUGAGACACGGUCCAGACUCCUACGGGAGGCAGCAGUAGGGAAUCUUCCGCAAUGGGCGAAAGCCUGACGGAGCAACGCCGCGUGAGAGAUGAAGGUCUUCGGAUCGUAAAACUCUGUUAUUAGGGAAGAACAUAUGUGUAAGUAACUGUGCACAUCUUGACGGUACCUAAUCAGAAAGCCACGGCUAACUACGUG